CUCUUAACCGUGGCAUAUCUUCGCGGCAUUUACUGAAAGACAUUUGCUUCAUUGCUCGUGGGUCAGAGGAAAUCUUGAUAACAACCCAUAUAGAGAGGACGAUCAUUGCUUAGCCUGCCUGGAAAAGGUCAAUAUGCCCUGUUCUCCACCCUCCAUCCGCCAUACACUUUACACGUAAAAAGUAGAUCAAAGACAAUUACCAACCAGAGACAGAGCCCAUAAAGAUUAUUGGAGACUUCAUCGUUCUGUGGAAACAGCAUCCAGUGCAUUCUGCACGCAAUUGGACUGAGCUGAGGCAUCCUCUUGUUUAGGUGGACUUGGCUGUCCAUAGCAGCUGAAGUUCCAGUUGGAAUUAUUUCAGAAAGACUAAGUGUAUUUAUCAUAUGGAGAUUUUAAUCCACAUUUGAGUCUGCUUCAAUCAAGACUUUCUAAGCCAUUUUCAACUCACUCCUGAGAUUAUUGAAAAUAAUUUGCAGGCCUUACACAUUUUUGAUUAUGUACUCACCAGAAGAAUUUUGAAAAGCUCUGCAUUCCCUUGCCCAUUUUUAACUUAACAUUAAAACAUAAAGCUCUUGUACAUGUCAAGAAUCUACAAAAUGUAAACAUAGAUAUUUUCAGAAAAAAUUGAUAGAGCACUCUUUUAAAUGUAUUUGAUGGAUCCUAAUACCAUAGUAAUUUGACAUACAUGAUCAUCCAUGAAGCAAUUAUCAGGUCAUCUUUAAUAACUGAAAAUAUUUUAUCAUUGCCUUUUGUCAUUGAACAUUCCAAUUCCCCUACAGAAUGUUAAUACAUGUUUGUACUGAACAUCUUUUAUCAUCUCUCUGUCACAUAUCUCUGAAACAAAUACAUAUUAGAACUUGAAAUCUAUUUUUUUCUCUGGGAUCAUAAGGAUCUAAGUGUUAAAAAAAAAAAAAAUUCCUCUUUGACCAGGCAUGGUGGCUCACGCCUAUAAUACCAGCACUUUGGGAGGCGAAGGUGGGUGGAUCAUCUGAGGUCAGGAGUUCAAGACCAGUCUGGCCAACAUGGUGAAACCGGUCUCUCCCAAAAAUACAAAAAUGAGCCAAGUGUGGUGGUGCACGCCUGUAGUCCCAGCUACUUGGGAGGCUGAGGCACAAGAAUCACUUGAACCUGGGAGGCAGAGGUUGCAAUGAGUCAAGACAGUGCCACUGCACUCCAGCCCUGGAACAGAGUGAGACUGCAUCUCAAAAAAAAAAAAAAAAAAUCCUCUUUGAUUACAUUAUCAUUGAUAUUGUUUUCAUUACUUUUAAAGCAUAAUUGGUCAAUACAAUAUAAAAAUAUCGUAAAUGUUAAUAACUGCAUUACAAAUACAAUUUAAGGGGGUGG
rnacentral:lncRNA from 10 species